AACGAACGCUAUCGGUAUGCUUAACACAUGCAAGUCGGACGGACUAAUUAGGGCUUGCUCCAAUUAGUUAGUGGCAGACGGGUGAGUAACACGUGGGAAUCUGCCCAUCAGUACGGAAUAACUUUUAGAAAUAAAAGCUAAUACCGUAUAUUCUCUACAGAGGAAAGAUUUAUCGCUGAUGGAUGAGCCCGCGUCAGAUUAGGUAGUUGGUGAGGUAACGGCUCACCAGGCCGACGAUCUGUAGCUGGUCUGAGAGGAUGAUCAGCCACACUGGGACUGAGACACGGCCCAGACUCCUACGGGAGGCAGCAGUGGGGAAUAUUGGACAAUGGGCGAAAGACUGAUCCAGCAAUACCGAGUGAGUGAUAAAGGCCCUAGGGUUGUAAAGCUCUUUUAGCAAGGAAGAUAAUGACGUUACUUGCAGAAAAAGCCCCGGCUAACUCCGUG
rnacentral:rRNA from 1 species